AUGUCGUCCAUCAAAACAGUGGAGGCGACAGCGCAAUGGAACAAGUCCAUUGCUGGCUUUGGUGCCACCUCGGGGCACGUGAGGAUUGGUUUCCCAAAUCAAUUCCAGCAGAUAAUGGGGUGGAGGGGGAGGGAGGAGUCAUCAACCUCGAUGCUUCCGCCUCGGCUCGCUGUGACGCCAAUGGUCAUGUCAAUAAGAUCUUUAGAUGACACUUCCAGCGUGAUGUGGGGUUGGUUCUCUCAUCAUGUCUCCGCCUUCUUCUCUAGGAUGACGAUCCGUGCUUUGGAACGUCACCAUUGGCAUCUCCUGGCAAUAUAUGAUGAUUUCCUAGGGAAAGUUACAACGACUCUCUGGUUUCGGCGACAGAGGGCAUGCGCGGAUCAAGCUACGCCCACGACACGCUGUUGGAUUGUGCAGGUCAAAGAUGGUGAUGAACUCCCCUUGGGCAUGUUUAUAAAUUUCUUUGUCAAGGGUGUUCUUGUAAAGCUUGGACUUGUUUAA
rnacentral:rRNA from 1 species